GAUAAACGCUGGCGGCGCACAUAAGACAUGCAAGUCGAACGAACUUAAUACCUUGCUUGCAAGGUAAGCGGUUAGUGGCGGACUGGUGAGUAACACGUAAGAAAUCUGCCUAUCAGAGGGGAAUAACAGUGAGAAAUCAUUGCUAAUACCGCAUAUGCCAUAGGGAUCGCAUGAUUCUAGUGGGAAAGGAGUAAUCCGCUGAUAGAUGAGCUUGCGUCUGAUUAGCUAGUUGGUGGGGUAAAGGCCUACCAAGGCGACGAUCAGUAGCCGGACUGAGAGGUUGAACGGCCACAUUGGGACUGAGAUACGGCCCAGACUCCUACGGGAGGCAGCAGUCGGGAAUAUUGCGCAAUGGAGGAAACUCUGACGCAGUGACGCCGCGUAUAGGAAGAAGGUUUUCGGAUUGUAAACUAUUGUCCAUAGGGAAGAUAAAAGACUGUACCUAUGAAGAAAGCUCCGGCUAACUACGUGCCAGCAGCCGCGGUAA
rnacentral:rRNA from 1 species